GUUCGGAAUCACUGGGCGUAAAGCGCGUGUAGGCGGCUUCUCAAGUCGGGUGUGAAAUCCCAGGGCUCAACCCUGGAAGUGCAUUCGAAACUGGGUAGCUAGAGUACUGGAGAGGAAGGUGGAAUGCUUGGUGUAGAGGUGAAAUUCGUAGAUAUCAAGCGGAACACCGGUGGCGAAGGCGGCCUUCUGGACAGAUACUGACGCUGAGGCGCGAAAGCGUGGGGAGCGAACAGG
rnacentral:rRNA from 1 species